UCGGGGGGCCGCGGGGGGGGGGCGCGAAGGCGAGCGUGGCCGAUCGGGGUGGCAGGCGGC
rnacentral:ribozyme from 1 species